rnacentral:misc_RNA from 1 species
GGCCGACUACCGGCGCUGUGUCCUGUCAUUCGUGUGGCUUAUGUUACUGUUGCCUUUCAAGUGCUUGCGUGCCGGUACCCGACAUAUGGGUAGUGGUGCUUUCUACACGGUUGCCUCGCGGUGGACGCCUUCGGGUGUGCUGCUGCGGCCGAACGGCGCUUGCGGCGUUGCCUCGUGGUGCUGGCAUGUUUUCGUGCCCGAUGCUAUCAAGGCAACCUCGCUCUUGCUGUUGGUUUCGGAUGUCGCUCAUGAUGAACGCUCAUGGCCCUUUUGGUUGCCUUGACCCGACCCUACAAAUGCCUUCCUCGUUUGAGAACAACCGGUUCUCAAACUCGUAGGUGUUUUUGGCCCGCUCAAUUGCGACAACCGGCCCGGUGGUUGCCUUUUCCUUUCCACGGAAGUGGACGGGCGAACAACUACCGGCGCUGGGCGUCAAAGAGGACGUGCUACCUGGUUGAUCCUGCCAGUAGUC